rnacentral:lncRNA from 1 species
CGAGCUCGAUGAACCAAAAUGGAAAUCGCAAUAAGAGAGUUAACGAAUUCGAAAAUCCGGUGGACCCGUCGGAACAGUAACCGGAAUAAUGACUGGGUGUUUUCCGGUGGGUUUUGAACUGAAAAACGAGGACCCUUUGCUACGCCUGAGCUCUGGUAAGUUCGGCAGCAACUGGAAAUGGAGAUGCGAUCUGUAGCGACAACGUUUCCGGUGAAAACUCAGUCCAAAUUUCUUCUCUGCUUUUAAACUCUCAACCUCAGAUCUUACUGUCUCUGGUCCGAUCAGCGCAGGUGACGGCGCUGGUGAGGUUGCCAAUGGUGGCUACGACGGAGAGGACGAACGGAGGGAGAUGGCGGCGGUUCAAAUGGCGACUGGCUUUACUGUUUCGUUGGGGUGGAGACGUUGGUUUCGAAGGGAGGAAGACGGUGAUGACGACGUUAUUGCUGCCGUCGUUGGCCGAACGAAGAGGCGGCACCGCUUCUCCUUUCGGUUUUGGAGAGAGAGAGAAGGUCUGGAGAGAGGGGGGGCUGAUUUUUUUUUU